GACUUAGUCCUAACCUUACUGUUGGUUGUUGCUAGGUAUAUACAUGCAAGUAUCCGCGCUCCAGUGUAGAUGCCCUCAGUACCUCACACCCAGGUCAGUAGGAGCGGGUAUCAGGCUCACACCUCCCCACGUAGCCCAAAACGCCUUGCACUUGCCACGCCCCCACGGGUCCUCAGCAGUAAUUAAUAUUAAGCAAUGAGUGUAAACUUGACUUAGCCAUAGCAAUACAGGGUUGGUAAAUCUUGUGCCAGCCACCGCGGUCAUACAAGAAACCCGAAUCAACUUUACCUUAAAACGGCGUAAAGAGUGGUAACAUGUUAUCAAAGUACCUAAGAUCAAAACGCAACUGAGCUGUCGCAAGCCAAAGAUGCCCCUAAGGCCACCCCCUAAAAGAAGAUCUUAGAGCAACGAUUAAUUGAAAUCCACGAAAGCCAGGGCCCAAACUGGGAUUAGAUACCCCACUAUGCCUGGCCGUAAAUAUUGAUGCUUUAUAUAACCUGAGCAUCCGCCCGAGAACUACGAGCGCAAACGCUUAAAACUCUAAGGACUUGGCGGUGUCCCAAAUCCACCUAGAGGAGCCUGUUCUGUAAUCGAUGAUCCACGAUACACCCGACCAUUCCUUGCAGAAACAGCCUAUAUACCGCCGUCGCCAGCUCACCCUGAUUGAAGGCCCAACAGUGAACGCAAUAGUUUUUACCACACUAAAAAGACAGGUCAAGGUAUAGCCUAUGGAAUGGAAGCAAUGGGCUACAUUUUCUAGCAUAGAACAGCACGGC
rnacentral:rRNA from 1 species